rnacentral:lncRNA from 1 species
AGAAGAUGAUGUUACUUUCAAUAUGACAGAAGGUGGAUGAAGUGGUGGACUGCCCCUCCACACCUGUGGACACGCCCCCACUGAUAUUCCUUCUAAUUGCAGCGUGGGAGAGGAGGAUAUGACACGCGAUAUCGCAGGGAGUAGAAACACCCCUGUGAUACUGUUCUUAAUAUUCAGGGAGGAAGAGGAUGAUAUUACUCCCAAUACAGACGGGUGUACACCCUCUGUACACCGAGGGUGUACACCUGUCUGUGAAAGAGUUCGUAAUCUCCAGAGGGGGAGAUGAUAUUACUCACAAUAUGGUAAAGAGGCUGUGAGUCCACGGAGGAUCCUCAGAGCCAGCGGGGGAAGAGGGGCUGGCUCUCAGUCCCCGCCUCGCGGGGGUGACUCCCCCCAGUGCGAUGGGGGUCCUAAGAGCCAGUGGGGGAAGAGGGGCUGGCUCUGAGACCCCGCCUCGCGGGGGGUGCCUCCCCGCCCUGUGAUGGGGGUCCGAAGAGCCAGAAGGCUUAGAGGGGCUGGCUCUCAGUCCCCGCCUCGCGGGGGGUGCCUCCUCCCCCUGCGAUGGGGGUCGUAAGAGCCACUGGGGGAAUAGGGGCUUGCUCUCAGUCACCGCCUCGCGGGGGGUGCCUCCUUUCCUUUCUACAUAGACACAGUGACAGUCUGAUCUCUCUUUCUUUUCCCUACAGAUGGACACGCCCCCACUGAUAUUGUUUUUAAUGCAGCGUGGGAGGGGAGGAUAUGACACGCGAUAUCGCAGGUAGUAGAAACACCCCUUUGAUAGUGUUCUUAAUAUUCAGGGAGGAAGAAGAUGAUGUUACUCCCAAUACAGACGGAUGUACACCCUCUGUACACCGAGGGUGUACACCCGUCUGUGAAGGAGUUCGUAAUCUCCAGAGGUGGAGAUGAUAUUACUCACAAUAUGGUAAACAGGCUGUGAGUCCAUCGCGGAUCCUCAGAGCCAGGUGGGGAAGAGGGGCUGGCUGUCAGUCCCCUCCUCGCGGGGGGUGCCUCCCCCACUGCUAUGGGGAUCCCAAGAGCCAGUGGGGGAAGAGGUGCUGGCUCUCAGUCUCCGCCUCGCGAGGUGCCUCCCCACCCUGCGAUCGGGGUCCGAAGAGCCAGGGGGGAAGAGGGGCUGGCUCUCUUCGUGGAUGAUUCUUUUUCCAUUCUCAGGCAGUUUUCUUUUUUCUUUCUUUCUUUUUUUUUUUUUUUGAGACUGAGUCUUGCUCUGUUGCCCAUGCUUUGCUCGAUCUCGGGUGACUGCAACCACUGCCUCCCAGGUUCAAGAGAUUCUCCUGCCUCAGCCUCCUGAGUAGCUGGGACUAGAGGCGUGUGUCACCACACCCAGCUAAUUUUUGUAUUUUUAGUAGAGAUGGGGUUUCACCAUGUUUGCCAGGAUGGUCUCUAUCUCCUGCCCUUGUGAUCCACCCACCUCAGCCUCCCAAAGUGCUGGGAUUGCAGGUGCGAGCCACCGGGUCCAGCCUCUCAGGCGAUUUUCAUACCUGCAUACUCUGGUCACUACUCUGUUAAACAGUCAAGGAGGGUAAGUAUUAUCUUCAGAUUUCCAGAGCUCUGUCUCUGUACAGCCCUCUCCUCCUCAAUAUUCUGCCCUAUGAAUUCUAGCCACAUUGGCCUUCCCAGGCUCACAGUUCUGUCUUCUCAACUCAGGAAGAUCUCUGAGUUCCAUCUGCAUUCUUUCUUCCUGUGCUGUGGCCUGGAAAGUUUUCUAAGGUGUUAGGGAGGUCAAUUGUGGGGCUAGCCUCAUUUGUUUCUCAUCUCUUGAGGAUCACUGCCCUUUGAUGCUUGAUUCCAGUGAUUGAUUCCCUUUGUUGCUUGAGGGCCAUAGUUUCAUAUAUUUUGUCCAGUAGUUUUGUUGUUUUAGGUCAGAAAGUAAUUUUGGUCUCUGUUACUCUAUCUUGGCCAGAAGUGUAAGACCUAAGCAUUUACACAUCAAAAUACUGCACACAUAAUUUUAGUUUAAGCUACUUUUUAAAAAAUCUCCUUCAUUUUCCAUUUAGCAUUCUAUUUAGGGUAUUACAUUGGUUUUUUUGAAAUUCUGUUAUUGGCAGUUUCUAUUGCCUAUCAAUCCCAUUUAAAGAUAGUGCAUAGGGUAUUCUAAAAUAGCUGUUAAGCAAAGAGAAAAUUGGGCCUGAUAGGGUGAGAAUCACAGCUCUAAUACCUAGAGUGACCUUAUAAUGUAUUGUCCAAAGGAGAUAUUUUUGACAGUGAAAGAGGGUGUUGUUAGUAAUUAUAUCAGGACCAUGGCCUAAACCAGGACUAUCCCAGGAAGCCUGGGACAUAUUUGUACCCCAUCUCUAUUUAAUGCCUUUAUACAAUUCUUUACUUAAUUCUACCAGCCUUUAUUGAGCCUGCUUUCUUUGUCUAGCUGAGUGCCACGUGCUGACGUCACUAAGAUCAAUACAGCAAACUCUGAAAGAUGGACAGAGAGACAGGAGAUGGUCCUUUAUAAUGCAGUGUGAUCUGUGCUGCAAUAGAGAUGGAAGAGUGUUCUGAUCGGCUGGAAAACAACGCACAUGGGAAGCUGUACAGAAAUGAGUGGGGAAAGUUUUGGAAGCUAGAAGUUCAAAACGAGGUGUUGGCAGCACCAUGCUCUCUCUGAAGAUGCUAGGAAGAAUCUGCUCCAUGCCUUUCCAUUCGCUUCUGGGGUUUCCUGCAAGCCCUGACAUUCCUUGGCUUGUAGAUGCAUCACCCCAGUUUCCGCCCCCAUCAUCACAUGGCCUCCUCUCUGUGUGUGCCUCUGCGUUCCCUCUAUUCUUCUUCUAAGGACACCGACACCAGUCAUAGUGGAUUAAGUGUCCACUCCUAACCAAUUACAUCUGCAACAACCCUAUUUCCAAAUAAAGUCACAUUCUAAGA